rnacentral:rRNA from 1 species
GUUUGAUCCUGGCUCAGGAUGAACGCUGGCGGCGUGCCUAACACAUGCAAGUCGAGCGAUUUACUUCGGUAAAGAGCGGCGGACGGGUGAGUAACGCGUGGGUAACCUGCCCUGUACACACGGAUAACAUACCGAAAGGUAUGCUAAUACGAGAUAAAAUACUUUUAUCGCAUGGUAGAAGUAUCAAAGCUUUUGCGGUACAGGAUGGACCCGCGUCUGAUUAGCUAGUUGGUAAGGUAACGGCUUACCAAGGCGACGAUCAGUAGCCGACCUGAGAGGGUGAUCGGCCACAUUGGAACUGAGACACGGUCCAAACUCCUACGGGAGGCAGCAGUGGGGAAUAUUGCACAAUGGGCGAAAGCCUGAUGCAGCAACGCCGCGUGAGCGAUGAAGGCCUUCGGGUCGUAAAGCUCUGUCCUCAAGGAAGAUAAUGACGGUACUUGAGGAGGAAGCCCCGGCUAACUACGUGCCAGCAGCCGCGGUAAUACGUAGGGGGCUAGCGUUAUCCGGAAUUACUGGGCGUAAAGGGUGCGUAGGUGGUUUCUUAAGUCAGAGGUGAAAGGCUACGGCUCAACCGUAGUAAGCCUUUGAAACUGGGGAACUUGAGUGCAGGAGAGGAGAGUGGAAUUCCUAGUGUAGCGGUGAAAUGCGUAGAUAUUAGGAGGAACACCAGUUGCGAAGGCGGCUCUCUGGACUGUAACUGACACUGAGGCACGAAAGCGUGGGGAGCAAACAGGAUUAGAUACCCUGGUAGUCCACGCCGUAAACG